rnacentral:rRNA from 1 species
CACCCGCAGCUCGAGUGGUGGGCACUUUUAUUGAGCCUAAAGCGUUCUUAGCCGGCUCUGUAAAUCUUCAGACAAAUUCUUCUGCUUAACGGAAGAUCCUCUGGAGAGACUGCAGAGCUAGGGACCGGGUGAGGUUGAAGGUACUUGUGGGGUAGGGGUAAAAUCCUGUAAUCCUGGAAGGACGACCGGUGGCGAAGGAGUUCAACUAGAACGGAUUCGACGGUGAGGAACGAUGGCUAGGGGAGCAAACCGG